rnacentral:misc_RNA from 1 species
UUGAUUCAUUUUCGAAACGCCCACUAGGGGCGCCGAGAAGGCUCAGAUAUAAAAAACCCGCGAGGGGGUAUACAAAAGAGUUUUGGGUUGGUCCUCCGGCGGGCGCCUUGGUCCGGGGCUGCGACGCGCCCGGGGCAUAAAUCCCGCCGAGGCAACAGUUUGGUAACGUUCACAUUGGGUUUGGGAGUUGUAAACUCGGUAAUGAUCCCUCCGCUGGUUCACCAACGGAGA